GUGCCAGCCGCCGCGGUAAUACGUAGGGUGCAAGCGUUAUUCGGAAUUACUGGGCGUAAAGCGUGCGCAGGCGGUUAUGUAAGUCUGUCGUGAAAGCCCCGGGCUCAACCUGGGAAGUUCGAUGGAGACUGCAUGGCUUGAAUGCGAGCAGAAGGGGGGUUAGAAUUCCACGUGUAGCAGUGAAAUGCGUAGAUAUAUGGAGGAACACCGAUGGCGAAGGCAGCCCUCUGGUUCAAGACUGACGCUCAUGCUCGAAAGCGUGGGGAGCAAACAGGAUUAGAU
rnacentral:rRNA from 1 species